GACGAACCGAGCGAACGUUGUUCGGAAUCACUGGGCUUAAAGGGCGCGUAGGCGGGCUGUCAAGUUUGGGGUGAAAUCCCGCGGCUCAACCGUGGAACUGCCUCAAAUACUGACGGUCUCGAGGGAGGUAGGGGCGAGCGGAACUGAUGGUGGAGCGGUGAAAUGCGUUGAUAUCAUCAGGAACUCCGGUGGCGAAGGCGGCUCGCUGGACCUUUUCUGACGCUGAGGCGCGAAAGCUAGGGGAGCAAACAGG
rnacentral:rRNA from 1 species